rnacentral:rRNA from 1 species
GAUUCCCCUAGUAACUGCGAGUGAAGCGGGAAAAGCUCAAAUUUAAAAUCUGGCGGUCUUUGGCCGUCCGAGUUGUAAUCUAGAGAAGUGUUACCCGCGUCGGACCGUGUACAAGUCUCCUGGAAUGGAGCGUCAUAGAGGGUGAGAAUCCCGUCUUUGACACGGACUACCGAGGCUUUGUGGUGCGCUCUCAAAGAGUCGAGUUGUUUGGGAAUGCAGCUCAAAAUGGGUGGUAAAUUCCAUCUAAAGCUAAAUAUUGGCGAGAGACCGAUAGCGAACAAGUACCGUGAGGGAAAGAUGAAAAGAACUUUGGAAAGAGAGUUAAACAGUACGUGAAAUUGCUGAAAGGGAAACGCUUGAAGUCAGUCGCGUUGUCCGGGAAUCAGCCUUCCUUCUGGUUGGUGUACUUCCUGGUUGACGGGCCAGCAUCAGUUUUGACCGGUGGAAAAAGUUCGAGGGAAUGUGGCACCUCCGGGUGUGUUAUAGCCCUCGUUCGUAUACAUUGGUUGGGNCUGAGGAACUCAGCACGCCGCAAGGCCGGGAUUCGUCCACGUUCGUGCUUAGGAUGCUGGCAUAAUGGCUUUAAUCGACCCGUCUUGAAACACGGACCAAGGAGUCUAACAUGCCUGCGAGUGUUUGGGUGGAAAACCCGAGCGCGUAAUGAAAGUGAAAGUUGAGAUCCCUGUCAUGGGGAGCAUCGACGCCCGGACCUGACGUUCUCUGACGGUUCUGCGGUAGAGCAUGUAUGUUGGGACCCGAAAGAUGGUGANCUAUGCCUGAAUAGGGUGAAGCCAGAGGAAACUCUGGUGGAGGCUCGUAGC